UCAAGUUACAAAGGGCGCAGGGCGGAUGCCUUGGCACCAGGAGCCGAAGAAGGACGUGAUAAGCUGCGAAAAGCUGCGGGGAGGAGCAAAUAUCCAUUGAUCCGCAGGUAUCCGAAUGGGGAAACCCGGCAGAAAGAACUUCUGUCACCGUAUGAUGAAUCCAUAGUCAUACGGAGGGAACCCGGCGAACUGAAACAUCUAAGUAGCCGGAGGAAGAGGAAGAAACAUCGAAUCCCUAAGUAGUGGCGAGCGAAAGGGGACGAAGCCCAAACCAAGGAUUUAUCCUUGGGGUAGAGGACCACAUACGAAGAAGCAGUAGGUAGCAGAACGGUUUUGGGAAAGCCGGCUGGAGAGAGUGAAAGCCUCGUAUGCGAAACAGACUGUGAUUCAGUGGUAUCCGGAGUACUACGGGACACGAGAAACCCCGUAGGAAGCAGGGGGGACCACCCCCCAAGGCGAAAUACUACCUGGUGACCGAUAGAGUAUAGUACCGUGAGGGAAAGGUGAAAAGAACCCCGGGAGGGGAGUGAAAGAGAACCUGAAACCCUGUGUCUACAAGCUGCGGAAGAGCGACUAACGCUCGACCGUGUACUUUUUGUAGAACGGUCCGGCGAGUUGCCGUUGCUGGCAGGUUAAGUACUUAAGGUACGGAGCCGAAGGGAAACCAAGUCUUAACAGGGCGGUAAGUCAGUAACGGCAGACCCGAAACCGGGUGACCUACCCAUGGCCAGGAUGAAGUCUGCGUAAAAGUGGAUGGAGGUCCGAACACACGUCUGUUGAAAAAGGCGGUGAUGAGCUGUGGGUAGCGGAGAAAUUCCAAUCGAACUCGGAGAUAGCUGGUUCUCCCCGAAAUAGCUUUAGGGCUAGCCUCGGUAUAGUCUAAUGGAGGUAGAGCACUGAAUCGCUGCGGGGGCGUCAAAGUCUACCAAUGCGUAUCAAACUCCGAAUGCCAUAUAGAUGUUUACCGGGAGUCAGACUGUAUGAGAUAAGUCGGACAGUCAAAAGGGAAACAGCCCAGACCAUCUGCUAAGGUCCCAAAGUGUAUGUUAAGUGGUAAAGGAUGUGGGGUUUCGAAGACAACUAGGAUGUUGGCUCAGAAGCAGCCAUUCAUUCAAAGAGUGCGUAAUAGCUCACUAGUCGAGAGGUCCUGCGCCGAAAAUGUCCGGGGCUGAAACAUAACACCGAAGCAAUGGAACAUACCGCAAGGUAUGUUGGUAGGGGAGCAUUGAUAACACGAAGAAGCGGUACCGUAAGGAGCCGUGGAGAGUUAUCAAGAGAGAAUGCCGGAAUGAGUAGCGAGAUGAAGGUGAGAAUCCUUCAGGCCGUAUAUCCAAGGUUUCCAGGGUAAAGCUGAUCUUCCCUGGGGAAGUCGGGACCUAAGCUCAGGCUGAGAAGCGUAGGCGAUGGACAACUGGUUGAUAUUCCAGUACCUCUGGCUGUCAGAAAUGUGGGGACACGGAAAUUCAGGAAGUGCCUGUAAAGGAUUCAGGUGCAAGCAUGGUUUAUGCCGGGCAGGCAAAUCCGCCCGGGUAAGUGGACUGUGUGAUGCGGACCGAAAUAUAAGUAGGGAAGCUUCUGGGAGAGCCGUCGAGAAAAGCCGCUAUUGUGCAGCCAGAGCCCGUACCGUAAACCGACACAGGUGGAUGGGGAGAGUAUCCCAAGGCCGGCGGGAGAAGCAUUGUUAAGGAACUCGGCAAAAUGGCCCCGUAAGUUCGCGAUAAGGGGUGCCUGUAGAGAUACAGGCCGCAGAGAAUAGGCUCAAGCAACUGUUUAGCAAAAACACAGGUCUAUGCGAAACCGUAAGGUGAUGUAUAUGGGCUGACGCCUGCCCGGUGCUGGAAGGUUACGGGGAGUGCUUAGGAGCAAUCCGAAGGUACGAACUUAAGCCCCAGUAAACGGCGGCCGUAACUAUAACGGUCCUAAGGUAGCGAAAUUCCUUGUCGGGU
rnacentral:rRNA from 1 species